rnacentral:rRNA from 1 species
ACGAUGAACCACUUCGGUGGGGAUUAGUGGCGAACGGGUGAGUAACACGUGGGCAAUCUGCCCUUCACUCUGGGACAAGCCCUGGAAACGGGGUCUAAUACCGGAUACGACCUGCCGAGGCAUCUCGGCGGGUGGAAAGCUCCGGCGGUGAAGGAUGAGCCCGCGGCCUAUCAGCUUGUUGGUGAGGUAACGGCUCACCAAGGCGACGACGGGUAGCCGGCCUGAGAGGGCGACCGGCCACACUGGGACUGAGACACGGCCCAGACUCCUACGGGAGGCAGCAGUGGGGAAUAUUGCACAAUGGGCGAAAGCCUGAUGCAGCGACGCCGCGUGAGGGAUGACGGCCUUCGGGUUGUAAACCUCUUUCAGCAGGGAAGAAGCGAAAGUGACGGUACCUGCAGAAGAAGCGCCGGCUAACUACGUGCCAGCAGCCGCGGUAAUACGUAGGGCGCAAGCGUUGUCCGGAAUUAUUGGGCGUAAAGAGCUCGUAGGCGGCUUGUCGCGUCGGUUGUGAAAGCCCGGGGCUUAACCCCGGGUCUGCAGUCGAUACGGGCAGGCUAGAGUUCGGUAGGGGAGAUCGGAAUUCCUGGUGUAGCGGUGAAAUGCGCAGAUAUCAGGAGGAACACCGGUGGCGAAGGCGGAUCUCUGGGCCGAUACUGACGCUGAGGAGCGAAAGCGUGGGGAGCGAACAGGAUUAGAUACCCUGGUAGUCCACGCCGUAAACGGUGGGCACUAGGUGUGGGCAACAUUCCACGUUGUCCGUGCCGCAGCUAACGCAUUAAGUGCCCCGCCUGGGGAGUACGGCCGCAAGGCUAAAACUCAAAGGAAUUGACGGGGGGCCCGCACAAGCGGCGGAGCAUGUGGCUUAAUUUCGACGCAACGCGAAGAAACCUUACCAAGGCUUGACAUACACCGGAAAGCAUCAGAGAUGGUGCCCCCCCUUGUGGUCGGUGUACAGGUGGGUGCAUGGGCUGUCGUCAGCUCGUGUCGUGAGAUGUUGGGUUAGGUCCCGCAACGAGCGCAUCCGUUGUCCCGUGUUGCCAGCAGA